GUGAAUCAUCGAAUUUUUGAACGCAAAUUGCACUCUCUGGUAUUCCGGAGAGUAUGCCUGUUUGAGGGUCAUUUUAAAUAAAAAUCGUUGUGUGUGCUGCCUUUCGUGGUUACGCAUCGGAUUUAGGUCGUCUAGCUUUCUUGUAAGUGGCCUUAAAGUUUUCAUGAUUUUUUUCGUACGUAUUUAAAUGAUGUUACGUACGUUUUCGAUAUGGAUUACUAGGUGCUUUCAUUCUCAUGAGUAUCGGCUAUAAUUUUUAAUCAAAAUUACCUAAAAUCAGGUAAGUGUA
rnacentral:misc_RNA from 1 species